UAUUUCGAGAGUCCUAGACUAGCAACGAAAUGUCGACUCCGACAUUAUAAAUACCGCCGAAUUGUAAGAUCGGGCGGGCAGUCGCAAAUCAUAAUCUGAACGAACACGUGCGUCAAAUUAACCGCUACAAUAAUAUACUAUCCCGGUUACGGCACAACAAAAUCAACAACAAAUUCACGCAUUUGAAUAUCAUUUGCUUGUGUCAUAAUUCCGAAAAGCAAGCAUUUCAGAUCAUAAGUCUGAAGUGUAAAGAACUGUGUUGUACGCUGUCGUUUUGUGAACAUCUCUUACUCAAUCUUGCCAGUCUUGCCAGUGACUAUAUAAUCUUUUUUGUUCAUAAAAUGUCACGUAAGCACCUACUAUAGUAUAUUGUGCAUCAAGGAGAGAAAGCAGCGUUUUUCAAACGAGUGUGAUUAUAUUUGGCAAAAAUAAUAGGUGGGGGUGGGGUUAAAUUAAAAAAAUAUGACAAAUUUGAAAAAUAUGAUUACGCCAUUGAGCACAAAAAGCCAUAAACCUUUUGUACCAAACUUUUUUUCAUACGCCUUAUAUUUUCGAAGAUAUUCGCUAAAAACUAUAAAAUCCGUUAUUUUUAGGGGUUGUUUCAACCCCUAAACGUUGAGAUAAACAGCAAAAAAACCGUGUCUAAUGUUUUUUUAUGCUCGACAACAUAGCCAAAGCGCAUCCAAAUCGGUCGUUAUUUUUUAGGGGUUUUUUCAACCCCUAAACGUCGAGAUACGCCGCAAAAAAAAAAUACGAGUCUACUAUUUUUUGAUGCUCAACAACAUAUCCAAAGCGCGUUCAAAUCGGGUAGGGACACUUCCGACCGUUCCCUUGUCAGAUAAAUUAUUUAUAUUAAAAAUGAUGGUGGCACCAUCAUAGAACUUAUUGACCGAUCUUUUUUACUUUCGCAUCCGAAGUUCCACGAAAAAAAUCUUGGACUCAUUGUUAAUAUCCUUCUGAACAAUGAUUACCCUCUGGAUCUUAUUUUUAACACCAUUUAUGAACGUCUUAAAAGUCUCUUUUUUAACACAGGUUGUAUUUUUGACCAAACUGACAUUUAUUCUUACAUUAACUCGACGUUUCGACACUGGUUUUGUGUCCUUAUCAAGAGAGUUGUUUU